rnacentral:misc_RNA from 1 species
GAAAUGCGAUAAGUAAUGUGAAUUGCAGAAUUCAGUGAAUCAUCGAAUCUUUGAACGCACAUUGCGCCCGCCAGUAUUCUGGCGGGCAUGCCUGUUCGAGCGUCAUUUCAACCAUCAAGCCCCCGGCUUGUGUUGGGGACCUGCGGCUGCCCGCAGGCCCAGAAAAACAGUGGCGGGCUCGCUGUCACACCGAGCGUAGUAGCAUACAUUCUCGCUCAGGGCGUGCUGCGGGUUCCGGCCGUUAAACGACCUUCAUAACCCAAGGUUGACCUCGGAUCAGGUAGGAAGACCCGCUGAACUUAAGC